CCUACGGGAGGCAGCAGGGAGGAAUAUUGGUCAAUGGGCGCGAGCCUGAACCAGCCAAGUAGCGUGAAGGAUGACUGCCCUACGGGUUGUAAACUUCGUUUAUAAAGGAAUAAAGUGAGGCACGUGUGCCUUUUUGUAUGUACGUUAUGAAUAAGGAUCGGCUAACUCCGUGCCAGCAGCCGCGGUAAUACGGAGGAUCCGAGCGUGAUCCGGAUUUAGUGGGUUUAAAGGGAGCGUAGAUGGGUUGUUAAGUCAGUUGUGAAAGUGUGCGGCUCCACCGUAAAAUUGCACUUGAUACUGUCAGUCUUGCGUACAGUUGCGGUCGGCGGACUUCGUGGUGUAGCG
rnacentral:rRNA from 1 species